GUAGUUUUCUUUCAAUUGGGUUUUCAGUUUUUGUUCCCAAAUUCAGAGAAAUGCAUACCCUUGAAGAAUUUCCUAAAUGGUAUUUGGUUUGUUGAUUUUUUAAAAACUUGUGUGCAUUUAAGGGUUAUAGUUGUAAUGAGAGCUUUACCCAUGAACAUCAUGAACUUCUGUAUUCAAGAAGCAGGUGGUUACUGGUAUUGUUUUCCCCCAUUAUUAAGUGUAAUAGGCACAAUGAAUUCUAAAGUAUAAUUUGGGAAUGCAACUUUCAAAGAUGGCACUUAACUUUUGUGAAAAGUUCUGCCACAUAACCAUUUCAAUUAUUCUAUCCCUGUGGAAAUAGAAAGGAAGCUUACCUGCUCAAUAUUUUUCAGGUAAACUAUAAUAGGCAUUAUGCGAGGUUUUAUAGUCUGGUUUGCACUGUUUUAAUCUUGACACUUUUCCGUUCACCUUGUAUUUAUAAACGUUGGGGAAGCAAUUCAGUUUACUAAAAAAACAUAAUUCAAUUGAAAGUAAGCCUUUAAAAGCAGUUCUUAUUUUUUAAAAUAUGAGAAGACUUAGCAGGAAAGAAUCAACAAUUUAAAUGUGUGACUUUUUGCUUGGUCUCUUCUUUACUCCAAUAUUUUCGUUUGUUUGUAAAGCCACUGUACAGUAACAAUAUGUUUCUCUUAUGUAACCAAUUUUCAAGUUUGAAUAAGUACAAUUAAUUGAAAAGUGGCUUAGUGGGAAACAUGCUAUUAAAGUAUUUUUUUCAAGUAGAGCCUCACUUCUGAAACUAUUACACCCUUUCACUUUUUAAGAAUAUGGGUACAGUAACCCACAAUUCUGAAAUACAAAUUGAAAAUAUAAAUUGUUCUGUGAUAAAUGAAACUUGGAACUGAAUCAAAUUAAAUCUAGCUACUAUUAUAGGCAGAGUCACUAAGACAGAUUUGUAUUGCCUAUACUGCAUAAUAUUGGACUAUCCAUAUUACUGCAUUUGUCAAAUGCAAUAUGCUGAUGGCUACAUAAAAAGUUUUCUUAGUGUAUUUAUUUGGAGAGGGAAUUCGGUCUUUGUUAAACUAAUAUGUUAAUUUAAAAGCCAUCCUUGUAUUUUUUUUGAAAAUCUUUUAACGUCAGAUUUGAAAGUCAAACUUGUUGGAAAUAGUAUGCAUACUGAUGUGCUCUCCUUGUUAAAAAAAUCCUUCAGAGCUUGAAUUUGAGGUAAAGUGAACAUACUGCCAUUUUAGGCAAUUUUUGGGAACCGGUGUUGGAAAACCCUACACCAUGGAUUUCUUUUUCUAUUUUAAUUGAAAAUUAUGUCCAAUGCUGCUUUUGAUUUGAACUGGGUAAAGGGUAUGUGAAAUGGGCAAUUAAGAUUUUUUUUAAAGAAAGAAGAUAGUCCAUUAGUAGCUAUAGAAAGAAAAAGAACAUUAGGAGUCCAAUUUAGACUAAAAUGAUAACCAACCUUGGAUGGCUCAGCACUUAGUUAUAGCUGCUGUAGCAUUGAAUUAUAUGCUUUUUGUUUGUAUUAGGAUAACAGCAGUGCAAUUAUUCAUUUGAGCCAACCUCCAAGACUUCAGGAUAGGAAAAGUUAAGUUUUGUGACACAUCUGUAUGCAGAUAAAGAGGAUUGUGAUCUUUUGUAUAUGGUAUUAUGAAGCCUUAGGGCAAUGUAUAUUUGAAUGCUCACAUGUUCAGAAAUUUGUUUCCAGAGUUAUAACAUUAGGAUGGAGAAUGUGUUUUUUCCUGAGAGUCACUUUAUACCACUUUUGGGGGAGAUGGAUAGGAAAAUCUUAACUGGCAUGUUGUCUUUAGGAUUUAAAUUCUAUGAUUGGAAACUUAAUGGGUUCCCCCUCCCCUUAAAGUUAACCAGGAGCUUUGCAAUUUGAUAGUUCAUCAUACAUGGUUGGCUGUCAGUGGAGUAUCAAUUUAAGGCUACUUCAUUUACCAAGAUCCACUUUUGUGUUUAUAUAAUUGCCUCCCAAUUUGGAUUAUCUAAAUUUGGAACACUGGGAGCCAAUUUUAACAUUUUUAAAGCCAAUAUAUUUAGCAUGGGUCUUUUCUUACCAAGAUAUAUAAGGGGAAAAGAAGAAAUCUUCCUUAGGAAUUUCAACAAGUCAUAGGAGUUUGACUACAUUUUAAGAGUAAAAGAAUGUAGGAAUACAUCUGAAUUGGAUAAAAAUGGAAAAGUUAAGGGUAGCCACUUAAGCAUACAAAAGAAUAAUCCAUAUAGGGUACCCGAGUGAAUGGCUUGCAAAAUUGUAAAGUAAUUUGAUGUGUUAAUUUCCUUGCCUUCGGUUUUUUCCCUAUAGAGUAAACAAUAUUAGCUGCUCCAGAUGUGUCACUGAAGAUAAACAUUUCCCUUUACAUUAUCCAAACUAAAGUAUUUUGGAACAACUAGAAAAAUGCACACAGAUGUGGGAUGAAGAGAAUCGGACGCAUAUUUUAGCUAGUUUUCUCCACAAGGCUAGUGAAGUGCUGAAGACCACAAGGGAUUCCAAACUCUAAUGGACCUUUGCGAAGAAAACGUUGGCUUAUGUGGAAUUUACAUGGGCCUCAUGGAAGAAAGCUUAUCUGUUUAGUAUUUGUGCAUUUUACUAAAAUGGCAGCUUAAAAAGUUGUGUAUCUGCUAUUUGUGAUGCCAAUGCCCAUGUUUUAAAGUGGAAAAUUGACCUCUUUGCUUUGUGCUGUGUACACAAGAUUUCUGCAAAAGUAAAGGAAAAAAACCCGUUUUUAUGGCUCACACAGCUUAAAAUAGCUGUCACUCAAAACAUGCGCUCACAGUCGAGCUGAUUUUGUUUCAUUCUAAAUAAAUUGUUUCUUUUGAGGAAAGUGGUUUUUCUGCCUGGAAAUGAAUUGACGACAAACCUUUGACCCCUUUGUUUGCAGCUGUGGGGGUACUUUACAACUGCUCCUGCUGCUCCUUCUCCUCGAUCUGAUAGUUGUGGGUCUCAGACAAGAAACAGGGAAACCUUCGCUUUGAUAUUGACCAUCUUUUAUAUCAGAUCUGAAGAAAUCUAGUUUGUUGUGUUGCUGUGUCCUCUUGUGUACGGUGAAUGGGGAUCAAUGGCUGCUAUCUCCUCAUCUUUACGAGGAAAUGGUGCUGUUGCUGGCAUGCAAGAAGCAGGGAAAGCAUCUUAAGUCUCAGAACAGUGUACAGAUCUGGGACUUUGUUGAUUUUGAAGAGCUGGAGUUCCUGAAUUUUAAGUUCUUGAUUUAUUUUGUUCACCUAACUUGUUUGGCCUUAGUUCUGAUUUUAAUUUGAAGAAAGUUUGAAAUUGCUUUGCAUCUUGCGCAUAACCUUUUCACCAAAUUGAAAACAAAAAGAAAAAGUAACUCAUUAAAAAAAAAUUAAAUGAUAGCGCGUUUCCAGACACAGUUGGAGAGCUCCUCCACCACCAGGGGCUUUUCUUCAGAGUUAUGCAGUCCUGGGUGUAGUUCUGAAUUGGAAGAAGAGUUCCUGAGAGCUAGAGCGCUGUCAUUUAAAACCUGUACAAUUGUUAUUGGUGCUCUUGACCCGUUUUGAAGCAAAUGGUCUACACACCUUGGAUGUGCAUGCAACCUUGAUCGUUUCGUAGGUACCACUGCAAACUAGUUUGUAGUACAGAUGAUAACAGGAGGAAAAAAAAGUGGUGAAACUUUGAAAAAAAAGUGCCAUAUUUCCUGCAUUUGGGGAUCUUGAGCUUUGGAAAGCUGUUCCCACUGUGCAGGAGUACAACUCUUUGCUGCAGGAGACUUCGGGGCACAGUUGACUACACAUCACCAGAGGUCAAGAGGAAGCGAACAGUGCUGCACCUGCAUCGUGGCUGCAGAAACUGCAUUUGUUUCCCAAGUCUCUUAGAAUUAACUAGUUGCCAUUUGACAUGCAGAUGGAAGACACCUUGAAAUGCAAGCUUGCUCUGGUUGCCUUGAAAUUCUUAACCUGUUGUGGAUAAAGAACACUAGUGCGGUCCUGUAUCCAUGCAGAAUGAUUGCUAGGCAGCAGGUGCUUAUCAACCAAGGAUGCUACGAUUGUGUUCCACAAAAUAUGGGUUCCCAUGGCAAACUGCUGUAUAAAACUCUUAAACAGGAUUUGUCAGCCCCUCUGGACUGAUUAGAGGGACAUCUUUAUCUGAAAGGAACUCCAGGCAACUUACAUGAAGAUAGCUCUUCAUUUUAUCCCUGCCACGUUCCUGUGAGGUUCCAAGAAUAAUGAAAUGGAUGAAACAAGGAAACAUAUACCAGCCAAAAUGAAGGAACAUGCAUACGUCUGUGUGUAAUCAUACAGCCAACCUGUAAGUAAGAGGAACAGCAGGAUUUGGUUAUUAAAUCAUUCUCAUUUAGUGUAGUUGUCUUUUCAUAUCAUUACUAAAGCAACACUUUUAAAAACCACGUAGGUACCUCAACAAUACUGCAUUUGCAUCAUUUAACCUAAGUGGCAAUAAAGAUUAUGUUUUAUAUAUUAACCUACCUUAAUUGGUUUAAAUUGCAGGAGCUGAUGUCUUAUUCCAAGGUAAAUAUAUUUCAUUCCUUUAAUUUUCUUCAUGGCAUGUUUAUUAAAUAAUUAUCUGUUUCAGUUUUUCUUUCACCAGUCAAUUUUUCUGCUUGCUCAGUCUCUCUGUAUUUUAGGAUCUUCUACUGAACCCCACAUUUGACAGCAAAGAAGGGAUGGAGGCUUUUUGCAGUAGUAUUGAGCUAUGGAGUACUUGAGUGGUGCAGAAGAUACUGUCUUGUGUUCAGACUAAACAUUCCUAUACACCCACAUAUAAGGAUAUUUUUAAUUUUGGUGAAUUUUAUGUAAUGUAUAUAGAAUGAAUUCUGGUUAUACUCUUUGUUACGUUGCCUCACAGACUUUUAAGUAUUAAUAAUUUCGAAAAUGGGCAAAACACAUCUUUUGAAAAAGCAUAUAAAUUCAUAGAAGUAAUGUACUAUUAUCCCACCCCUAACAUUUAUAGAACCAAGUGAUCUCUUAUUUGGUGAGAUCCCAUUGGUGUUCGCAUGGUUACUUGGGAAUAAAUCCCCACGAUCCCAUAGCAAUUACGUUGUGGAGGAUUUUCUUGUUCUGGCAAACUAUUAAAAUUUACCACCAGAGGGCUUGUUCCCACAUUGAAAUAAUAUGGCUCAUAUUUAAAGCACUCUGGAGUAGAUCCUGCCUGAAAACCUAUUGAUUCACAAUUAUGUGGUACUUCUAUGUAUUACAUAUAUGAAUUGGAUUACUAGGGGAUCAUAAGAUUUUUGCCAGUCUAGUUCUCUUCAUUAAAAUAACGGUCAUAUUGAUGCUUCCUGUAUGCAGAAAAUAGUCCCCCCCUCUCAUAAUUACUCCAAUUCUCAUACACAACAGUAUCUGAACAAAUUAUUUUUAUCCCUCAAGGCUUAAUACCUGCUUUUCAUAAAAACGUAGAUUCAAACUUGAAUUUGGCUAUAAAUGUAACCUUCUGUUUGUUAGCUUGGCUAUUUUGUGCCAAAAACUAUGAUUUUUUUUUUAAUUUAAAUCUACAGCAGAUAACUUGCACUGAAUGAGCUCAAAUAUUAGAAAUGAAAGAAUUUGCCCAUUUACUGAAUAUACAUAUGAAAUUCUGACCCUAUUUUUUUGAAGUCUCAGUGCCUUAACAUGGUGUAUAUGGACACGUUCGUAUUUCUGAUUAUUUCACUUACUCUUUUCUGUUGGUUUUAGGGCUAUGAAAUACCUUCUGAAAUGUCUCCAGAUUAUACCAAAUGAUGUUACCUACAGAAUUAUUUAAAAAGAAGUACUUGCCAUUUUGUUUUCAACUCUUUUCCUAUUAAAUCCAGUGUUCAUGUUUAACUUCCAAUGCGUAUUAUAAUGAAAUGUUUACCUCGGGUGAAAAUCUUUGCAGUUAAGCCUCUACUGCUUUAAGAAUAUAGGUUUUGUUGGGCUCAAAGUAUAUAACCACGUAGUUUAAUUGCUCAUUUAUUUUUUAAAAGUUCUUCUGCUUUAGGUUUCAUUAUCUUGAAUCACUGAAUCCACAUCCAGUGUAUACUAUUAAUCCCUCUUAGGUAGAUAGGAUGUAUGGAUACAAUUGCAAUAUAAAACACAUAAAAACUUUACAAUGAUUGUCUUCUGGAAAUGAAUCCUGUCUCACUAGUACUUCUCAGUAUCCACUUUGACAACUUGACCAUACUCCAGAAAACAAGACGGCUUUGGUGUUACCAUUUUUAUUGCUAGCUGACAAGGAAGGACUAAUAAACAGAUUUAAAUAUUAACACUCACAAUAAUUUACUAGAAGUUUUUCAAGAACUCUAAAUUAUGUUGUCAUGUAGUUAUUAAUGUGUUAAUUUUAAAACCUCUUACAUUUUUUCUAUUUGGCACAGCUCUUCAGAGGCAGUCCCUGCCCCAUUCCCUAGAAUAUGCUUCAGGUGUGGGUCUCACAUUAACAUCUUUCACAGUGAAGACUGAUGCAAAGAUCCCAGCACAGGAAUCAGCAGUGCAAGAUAUCCACCACUGAAAAUGGCAAAAAUUACAGAGUAACUCAUAAGUAAUGGAAAGGUUGUAGCCAGAGGACACAGCAGAUUAGUGAGCCCACAAAGAAUGAGACUUGCUGGUAGAUGCCCCUACUGCUUGGCUGUGGCCUCAUUUGUCAGAUUUCUUAUCCGGGUGCUACUAAUAUGAUGUAAGCAGUAUCCAUUGGAUCAAUACCCAAUGUUUUGGCUCUGGCUGCAAGGUGGAAAGUUGGGAUAAAAUAGGCAAGCUGACUGAAGAGAAAAGACCACGUGAAAAUAAGGA